AUUGAACGCUGGCGGCAGGCCUAACACAUGCAAGUCGAACGAGUGGCGGACGGGUGAGUAAGGUCUGGGAAACUGCCUGAUGGAGGGGGAUCACGACGGGAAACGGUAGCUAAUAGCGCAUACCAGACGAUGGGCCGAGAUGGGAUUAGCUAGGAGGUGGGGUAAUGGCUCACCUAGGGGACGAUCCCUAGCGGGUCUGAGAGGAUGACCAGCCACACUGGAACUGAGACACGGUCCAGACUCCUACGGGAGGCAGCAGUGGGGAAUAUUGCACAAUGGGCGCAAGCCUGAUACAGCCAUGCCGCGUGUGUGAAGAAGGCCUUCGGGUUGUAAAGCACUGUCAGCGAGGAGGCGUUACCCACCGAAGAAGCACCGGCUAACUCCGUGCCAGCAGCCGCGGUAAUAC
rnacentral:rRNA from 1 species